rnacentral:rRNA from 1 species
ACGGGGGGGCACAAGCGGUGGAGCAUGUGGUUUAAUUCGAUGCAACGCGAAGAACCUUACCUACUCUUGACAUCCAGAGAAUUCGCUAGAGAUAGCUUAGUGCCUUCGGGAACUCUGAGACAGGUGCUGCAUGGCUGUCGUCAGCUCGUGUCGUGAAAUGUUGGGUUAAGUCCCGCAACGAGCGCAACCCUUAUCCUUUGUUGCCAGCACGUAAUGGUGGGAACUCAAAGGAGACUGCCGGUGACAAACCGGAGGAAGGUGGGGAUGACGUCAAGUCAUCAUGGCCCUUACGAGUAGGGCUACACACGUGCUACAAUGGCAUAUACAAAGAGAAGCGAACUCGCGAGAGCAAGCGGACCUCAUAAAGUAUGUCGUAGUCCGGAUUGGAGUCUGCAACUCGACUCCAUGAAGUCGGAAUCGCUAGUAAUCGUAGAUCAGAAUGCUACGGUGAAUACGUUCCCGGGC